UACGUAGGUGGCAAGCGUUGUCCGGAUUUACUGGGCGUAAAGAGCGCGCAGGCGGUCGUUCAAGUCGCGUGUGAAAGCCCCCGGCUCAACUGGGGAGGGUCACGCGAUACUGAUCGACUCGAAGGCAGGAGAGGGUAGUGGAAUUCCCGGUGUAGUGGUGAAAUGCGUAGAUAUCGGGAGGACACCAGUGGCGAAGGCGACUACCUGGCCUGUUCUUGACGCUGAGGCGCGAAAGCUAGGGGAGCAACGGGG
rnacentral:rRNA from 1 species